UACAGUUGGGGUAAAUAAACUUUUUUGGUUAAUUAUUAUUGUGUUUUUAUAUAGGAUUUUUUUUUGUAUAUUUAAGGUGAAAUUUCAAUUUACUUUGAUUAAUCUUGGUUAAUUACUAAUAUAAGAAAGUGCAUUUUGAGACUAGGAUUAGAUACCCUAUUAUUUGUACUGUAAAUUUUAGGCCUUAGUAUUAAUAGCUAUGAUCUUUAAAUUAAAAGAAUUUGGCGGUAACUUAAUCUUUCCAGAGGAACCUGUCCUGUAAUUGAUAAUCCACGUUGAAUUUUACUAUAAUUAAAGCUUGUAUACCUCUGUCAUUGAAUGUCUUGUGAAAGUAUUUUCUUUAAUCUUUUUAGGGAGUAAUGUUAGGUCAAGGUGCAGCAAUAUUGUAGGUAGAGAUGGGUUACAUUUAAUUUAUUAUUGGAUCUUUUGAUGUAAAUUUAUCUUGGGUGAAAUUGGAUUUGGAAGUAAUUAUUAUUAUUUAAUAGUAUUGAUUUUGGCUCUAAGUUAUGUACACAUCGCCCGUCACUCUCAUUUUAAGAUGAG
rnacentral:rRNA from 1 species